GGGCCAGACUCCUACGGGAGGCAGCAGUGGGGGAUAUUGCACAAUGGGGGGAACCCUGAUGCAGCGACGCCGCGUGGGUGAAGGAGCGUUUCGGCGCGUAAAGCCCUAUCGGCAGGGAAGAAGGAGGACGGUACCUGACUAAGAAGCCCCGGCUAACUACGUGCCAGCAGCCGCGGUAAUACGUAGGGGGCAAGCGUUAUCCGGAAUUAUUGGGUGUAAAGGGUGCGUAGACGGGAAAACAAGUUAGUUGUGAAAUCCCUCAGCUUAACUGAGGAACUGCAACUAAAACUAUUUUUCUUGAGUGCUGGAGAGGAAAGUGGAAUUCCUAGUGUAGCGGUGAAAUGCGUAGAUAUUAGGAGGAACACCAGUGGCGAAGGCGGCUCUCUGGACUGUAACUGACACUGAGGCACGAAAGCGUGGGGAGCAAACAGGAUUAGAUACCCCAGUA
rnacentral:rRNA from 1 species